AGUGAACGCUGGCGGUAGGCCUAACACAUGCAAGUCGAACGGCAGCGCAGUAAGAGCUUGCUCUUACGGGUGGCGAGUGGCGGACGGGUGAGGAAUACAUCGGAAUCUACUUUUUCGUGGGGGAUAACGUAGGGAAACUUACGCUAAUACCGCAUACGACCUACGGGUGAAAGCAGGGGAUCUUCGGACCUUGCGCGAUUGAGUGAGCCGAUGUCGGAUUAGCUAGUUGGCGGGGUAAAGGCCCACCAAGGCGACGAUCCGUAGCUGGUCUGAGAGGAUGAUCAGCCACACUGGAACUGAGACACGGUCCAGACUCCUACGGGAGGCAGCAGUGGGGAAUAUUGGACAAUGGGCGCAAGCCUGAUCCAGCCAUACCGCGUGGGUGAAGAAGGCCUUCGGGUUGUAAAGCCCUUUUGUUGGGAAAGAAAAGCAGCAGGUUAAUACCCCGCUGUUCUGACGGUACCCAAAGAAUAAGCACCGGCUAACUUCGU
rnacentral:rRNA from 1 species